rnacentral:rRNA from 1 species
GCACAGAGAGCUUGCUCUCGGGUGACGAGCGGCGGACGGGUGAGUAAUGUCUGGGAAACUGCCUGAUGGAGGGGGAUAACUACUGGAAACGGUAGCUAAUACCGCAUAACGUCGCAAGACCAAAGUGGGGGACCUUCGGGCCUCAUGCCAUCAGAUGUGCCCAGAUGGGAUUAGCUAGUAGGUGGGGUAACGGCUCACCUAGGCGACGAUCCCUAGCUGGUCUGAGAGGAUGACCAGCCACACUGGAACUGAGACACGGUCCAGACUCCUACGGGAGGCAGCAGUGGGGAAUAUUGCACAAUGGGCGCAAGCCUGAUGCAGCCAUGCCGCGUGUGUGAAGAAGGCCUUCGGGUUGUAAAGCACUUUCAGCGGGGAGGAAGGCGGUGAGGUUAAUAACCUUGGCGAUUGACGUUACCCGCAGAAGAAGCACCGGCUAACUCCGUGCCAGCAGCCGCGGUAAUACGGAGGGUGCAAGCGUUAAUCGGAAUUACUGGGCGUAAAGCGCACGCAGGCGGUCUGUCAAGUCGGAUGUGAAAUCCCCGGGCUCAACCUGGGAACUGCAUUCGAAACUGGCAGGCUAGAGUCUUGUAGAGGGGGGUAGAAUUCCAGGUGUAGCGGUGAAAUGCGUAGAGAUCUGGAGGAAUACCGGUGGCGAAGGCGGCCCCCUGGACAAAGACUGACGCUCAGGUGCGAAAGCGUGGGGAGCAAACAGGAUUAGAUACCCUGGUAGUCCACGCCGUAAACGAUGUCGAUUUGGAGGUUGUGCCCUUGAGGCGUGGCUUCCGGAGCUAACGCGUUAAAUCGACCGCCUGGGGAGUACGGCCGCAAGGUUAAGACUCAAAUGAAUUGACGGGGGCCCGCACAAGCGGUGGAGCAUGUGGUUUAAUUCGAUGCAACGCGAAGAACCUUACCUGGUCUUGACAUCCACAGAACUUUCCAGAGAUGGAUUGGUGCCUUCGGGAACUGUGAGACAGGUGCUGCAUGGCUGUCGUCAGCUCGUGUUGUGAAAUGUUUGGGUUAAGUCCCGCAACGAGCGCAACCCUUUAUCCUUUGUUUCCCACCGGUUAGGCCGGGAACUCAA